rnacentral:rRNA from 1 species
CCUACGGGUGGCAGCAGUGAGGAAUAUUGGUCAAUGGACGAGAGUCUGAACCAGCCAAGUAGCGUGAAGGAUGACUGCCCUAUGGGUUGUAAACUUCUUUUAUAUGGGAAUAAAACGUUCCACGUGUGGGAUUUUGUAUGUACCAUAUGAAUAAGGAUCGGCUAACUCCGUGCCAGCAGCCGCGGUAAUACGGAGGAUCCGAGCGUUAUCCGGAUUUAUUGGGUUUAAAGGGAGCGUAGGUGGAUUGUUAAGUCAGUUGUGAAAGUUUGCGGCUCAACCGUAAAAUUGCAGUUGAAACUGGCAGUCUUGAGUACAGUAGAGGUGGGCGGAAUUCGUGGUGUAGCGGUGAAAUGCUUAGAUAUCACGCAGAACUCCGAUUGCGAAGGCAGUUCACUGGACUGCAACUGACACUGAGGCUCGAAAGUGUGGGUAUCAAACAGGAUUAGAUACCCUUGUAGUC